CCAUGCCGUAAACGAUGUCUACUAGCCGUUGGGGCCUUUGAGGCUUUAGUGGCGCAGCUAACGCGAUAAGUAGACCGCCUGGGGAGUACGGUCGCAAGACUAAAACUCAAAUGAAUUGACGGGGGCCCGCACAAGCGGUGGAGCAUGUGGUUUAAUUCGAUGCAACGCGAAGAACCUUACCUGGCCUUGACAUACUAGAAACUUUCCAGAGAUGGAUUGGUGCCUUCGGGAAUCUAGAUACAGGUGCUGCAUGGCUGUCGUCAGCUCGUGUCGUGAGAUGUUGGGUUAAGUCCCGCAACGAGCGCAACCCUUUUCCUUACUUGCCAGCAUUUCGGAUGGGAACUUUAAGGAUACUGCCAGUGACAAACUGGAGGAAGGCGGGGACGACGUCAAGUCAUCAUGGCCCUUACGGCCAGGGCUACACACGUGCUACAAUGGUCGGUACAAAGGGUUGCUACACAGCGAUGUGAUGCUAAUCUCAAAAAGCCGAUCGUAGUCCGGAUUGGAGUCUGCAACUCGACUCCAUGAAGUCGGAAUCGCUA
rnacentral:rRNA from 1 species